rnacentral:sRNA from 1 species
AAAAAAAAAAAAUAAUGCAGAAGUGAAAACAAAUCCCCAAACCCAACUGCGCUGUCGGCGUUGCCACCUGGCCGCCCUAAAAAUAACCAAAGAAGCACACCUACAAACAAUGAGACAAAGAGAGAGGGAGCGAUAGAGCGCAAGAGAGAGAGAGAGAGAGAGAUACGCAGCGCAACAAUAUUAUAUGGCCACAAAUUUGGCUCGCUCGUUCAACUGGGGAUUUAACUUGCAUGCGGUUCUAGUGGGCAACAGCUGUUUGGGUAAUUGUGUGAUUUAGUCGCAUGUAUUUCAUUUGUUAAUUUUCAUAAUUCACAUUUCCCAAUGUCGCCCAUUCGUAAUGAGGCUUGAUUUAUGCGCACGCCUUAAAAUA